rnacentral:rRNA from 1 species
GGGACACGUGGUAUCCUGUCUGAAUAUGGGGGGACCAUCCUCCAAGGCUAAAUACUCCUGACUGACCGAUAGUGAACCAGUACCGUGAGGGAAAGGCGAAAAGAACCCCGGCGAGGGGAGUGAAAAAGAACCUGAAACCGUGUACGUACAAGCAGUGGGAGCACGCUUAGGCGUGUGACUGCGUACCUUUUGUAUAAUGGGUCAGCGACUUAUAUUCUGUAGCAAGGUUAACCGAAUAGGGGAGCCGAAGGGAAACCGAGUCUUAACUGGGCGUUAAGUUGCAGGGUAUAGACCCGAAACCCGGUGAUCUAGCCAUGGGCAGGUUGAAGGUUGGGUAACACUAACUGGAGGACCGAACCGACUAAUGUUGAAAAAUUAGCGGAUGACUUGUGGCUGGGGGUGAAAGGCCAAUCAAACCGGGAGAUAGCUGGUUCUCCCCGAAAGCUAUUUAGGUAGCGCCUCGUGAAUUCAUCUCCGGGGGUAGAGCACUGUUUCGGCAAGGGGGUCAUCCCGACUUACCAACCCGAUGCAAACUGCGAAUACCGGAGAAUGUUAUCACGGGAGACACACGGCGGGUGCUAACGUCCGUCGUGAAGAGGGAAACAACCCAGACCGCCAGCUAAGGUCCCAAAGUCAUGGUUAAGUGGGAAACGAUGUGGGAAGGCCCAGACAGCCAGGAUGUUGGCUUAGAAGCAGCCAUCAUUUAAAGAAAGCGUAAUAGCUCACUGGUCGAGUCGGCCUGCGCGGAAGAUGUAACGGGGCUAAACCAUGCACCGAAGCUGCGGCAGCGACGCUUAUGCGUUGUUGGGUAGGGGAGCGUUCUGUAAGCCUGCGAAGGUGUGCUGUGAGGCAUGCUGGAGGUAUCAGAAGUGCGAAUGCUGACAUAAGUAACGAUAAAGCGGGUGAAAAGCCCGCUCGCCGGAAGACCAAGGGUUCCUGUCCAACGUUAAUCGGGGCAGGGUGAGUCGACCCCUAAGGCGAGGCCGAAAGGCGUAGUCGAUGGGAAACAGGUUAAUAUUCCUGUACUUGGUGUUACUGCGAAGGGGGGACGGAGAAGGCUAUGUUGGCCGGGCGACGGUUGUCCCGGUUUAAGCGUGUAGGCUGGUUUUCCAGGCAAAUCCGGAAAAUCAAGGCUGAGGCGUGAUGACGAGGCACUACGGUGCUGAAGCAACAAAUGCCCUGCUUCCAGGAAAAGCCUCUAAGCAUCAGGUAACAUCAAAUCGUACCCCAAACCGACACAGGUGGUCAGGUAGAGAAUACCAAGGCGCUUGAGAGAACUCGGGUGAAGGAACUAGGCAAAAUGGUGCCGUAACUUCGGGAG